CCCUUAGAUGUUCUGGGCCGCACGCGCGCUACACUGAUGCAUUCAACGAGUCUAAAACCUGGUCUGAUAGGGCUGGGUAAUCUUUUGAAAGUGCAUCGUGAUUGGGAUAGAUGAUUGCAAUUCUUCAUCUUCAACGAGGAAUGCCUAGUAAACGCAAGUCAUCAGCUUGCAUUGAUUACGCCCCUGCCCUUUGUACACACCGCCCGUCGCUCCUACCGAUUGAAUGAUCCGAUGAAUACCAUGGAUUGAGAGUACGAAUGGGUUCGCUCAUUUCUGCUGCUCGAGAAGUGGAGUAAAUCUUAUCAUUUAGAGGAAGGAGAAGUCGUAACA
rnacentral:rRNA from 1 species